rnacentral:rRNA from 1 species
GUGUCAGCAGCCGCGGUAAUACGUAGGGUGCGAGCGUUGUCCGGAAUUACUGGGCGUAAAGGGCUCGUAGGUGGUUUGUCGCGUCGUCUGUGAAAUUCCGGGGCUUAACUCCGGGCGUGCAGGCGAUACGGGCAUAACUUGAGUACUGUAGGGGUAACUGGAAUUCCUGGUGUAGCGGUGAAAUGCGCAGAUAUCAGGAGGAACACCGAUGGCGAAGGCAGGUUACUGGGCAGUUACUGACGCUGAGGAGCGAAAGCAUGGGUAGCGAACAGGAUUAGAUACCCUGGUAGUCCAUGCCGUAAACGGUGGGCGCUAGGUGUGAGGGUCUUUUCACGACUUUCGUGCCGUAGCUAACGCAUUAAGCGCCCCGCCUGGGGAGUACGGCCGCAAGGCUAAA